rnacentral:lncRNA from 1 species
AAAGAGAAACCUCCCGUCUCAUUGUCUCCUCCGCUCCUUGCGCCGCUGCCAAGACGAGUCGCGGCUGAACAGGGGAGGGGCGGCGAUCUUCAUCUGGCGAGCAGAGCAUGGGAGGGGAUCCUGGAUGCCAACAAACUGUGCUCUCUUGUUCGGAAGCAGCAAGCACUUGCCAAAAAGAAAAGGAAAUGGCUGCGGUCUCUGAUUCCAAGGGAAGACGGUCUCAUCAAACCUAUCAAACGACCCAAGUACUUGGCUGAAUCAUAUGUAAGGAGUGAUGAGGUUUCUUGUGAGAAAGUCAUAGCCCAUGUUGAAAAAUGUUUUGAUUUCCAAAGCGAUGGCUACAGCCACCACAUUGUUCAAGAUGGCCUUCAGUUUUUUAAGUUGCAAAAAGGCAAGGAUGGCUCACUCAGUCCACAAGGUCUUGCAGACAUGCAACUCAUAAUAAAUAAGUUAAGCAAUGAAGCACUUCAUUCAGUGGCUAACAUCGUCACCCACAAUAGGGUUAGUUUUGAGAAGACCAGGCCAGCGAUGAACAAGAUCAUAGAAGACCACCUACCACAAUACUUGGCAAACUUGCGUGAUGAAAAUGACAUGUCUCAACUGUCGCACAUUUUAACAAAUUCAUUCAGUUGCCGAUCUAAUUCCUUAAACAUUGCAACACCUAUUUCACCGAAAAUGUUAUCAUCCAUCAACCAGGCAUUAAAUGUACUUGGUACACUGACUAUACAAUCUCUUGUUGCAAUGAAAAGAAAGCUUGAUGAAAUAUCUUUCACCCCAAAAUUUAGUUUUGUACCUCGUAUAAGCAGAAAGGCGCAUAUGGUUACUGUGAUUAGGAAACAGUGCAAUAAGAUGAUUUCAAGGGUUGGGGAAAGUGGUGACCUGCCAAAGAAUUUGGCAAAAGCACUAUCAGUGGUGAAUCUGUAUAGGAAGCAAGAGUUGAAAUGCAUGGACAUCUCACAGGCAGAGUUCUUUCCAUUCUCAAAGAAAGCUAUUUUCUUGCAAAAUGAUGUCCUGAAUGCUAUUUGGUCAAUUCAAAAGUUGAAGAAAGGGGAUCUUAAAUUGCUGCGUCCCAUACUAUGUCAAGGUUCAAACGAUGAGAUGCUGUUCAAGACUACUGUGAGAAGGGUGAUUUACCAGAUGAGGCAUCAGAUGCCUCUACGUCAAAAAAUUGAUUUCACAGAACAAAGGAAGGGUGCAGAGGUAGAAGCUGUACUGAAUUUAAUGAACUGUGGGAGUGAAUGCCACAGUGAUGAACAAGUGAUGAGCUUAGGUUGUGAUGACUACAGUUGUGAUAAUGAUUUCGUGCUCACAGAGGGUUACAAAAAUUUUGGUCAUCAGCAGCAUAAAAUAGAUGAAGCUUGUUCGAGUAGCAUGGCCAACCCUGUCGGUCUUUCAUAA